AUGAAGCGAAACCUGUCAAAUGAGGAGAUUGCCAGACCACGACGAUCUACUCCAACACCCACGACAACCCCAGGUCCUGGUUCUGACCCUCCCAGAGAAAACACAAGAGCAUUCUUCGGCCCACCGUUCGAGACCAGUUUUGAAGCACACAACUCAGAAGUGUUCCUGGUUGAGCCGGAGCUCUGGUGUCAGUCCACUUCUCUCUCCACCUGUGUUCUCAGCAGAUCUCUGCCCACUGGAGCUCCGCCUCCACUUCCUCCAAAGAACAUUCCUGUCACCCCACCUGGACGCAGUUUUAGCUCUGUAGAGUCCUCCGGUAUGUACUGACACUUCAAAUUUAGCAUCCAAAGACACGUAGUUUCAAUCUCUUGAAAGAACCAAGUUCCUGUUCAGAAGUGUCUUACUACAGAAUACUUGUUCUCAGCUCUAUGUUUGUGGUUGGGGUGUGCGAUAUCAACAAAAAUUACACUGAUAUUUUCAUAACAUUCUGUGCAGUGGGACGAUAUUUGCCACCUUAAAAUGAUUUCCUGAGACAUUUUUAUCUUUAUAAGAGCAUUUUUUUCUAACCUUAUUAUUGAAUUGAUUAACUAUAUGAAUAUUGCAUUAAAAAAAAUAUGCAUACCUCAUCUUUUAUGUCAAGUUCUUAAAUGUAAUCAUUAAAUUCAGCUAGGCUGUUACCAAUCAAAUUCAAUCUAAUUUUAAAUCAAAUAAAAUCUAAUUUUGCUCUCCAGAAGUUGCAUAGAAGCAAUUUAGAUGUAUUCACACUUCAAUUUCAUUUUUAAUCAAGGAUGCAUUAAAUUGAUCAAAAUAAUGCUAUGAGAAUAAUAUUUUAAAAUAAUAAUUUAAAUAUUGAAAUAUAAAAUUAAAGAAAAAAUGAAAUGAUACUUUAAAAUAUGUAAUUUAAGAUGCCAGUAGGUGGCGACAAGUCACUGAGUGAGUCAUUGAUUCAUUCAGACAAUUUGUUCAAAUGGCUGUUUCGUUCAGGAAUGAAACAUCAAUGUUUUCAGAGACACACUGCAGCUUUGUUCGAAACAGACCAGAUUAACUUCUUGUUUAACUGUAUAUAAUCAAUAUCAUAUUUGCAAUUAUGCCAAUAUUUGGGGGUGGGAAAAUCAUGCUUUGCCCCCAUAUAUUGAAUUUUGGGGUCACUAACUGCAUUCUACUAGACUACACAGGCUGGACGAAAAUGUUUUUGUUAGUGGCAUACUCAGCUUCUACAUUAUUGAAACAUCAAGCCAAUAAAUAUCGCACACCCCUAGUUCGUGGUGGUGAAUGUUGGAAGACUAUUUGGCAGCUUGUUUUCAUUUUGUCUGAACAGGUUAUUAUAGUGUGGUUCCUAGCGUCAGAGGCUAUGGCUCAGCUUCAGUCUGUCAGGAUGCCCCAUUAUCUG
rnacentral:lncRNA from 12 species